ACAUUGGUAGUUCAGUGAUAGAGCUUUUGCCUUCCAUGUGAGAGAGGUGGGUUCAGUUCCCAGCCAAUGCA
rnacentral:tRNA from 1 species